AUACGAAGGGUGCAAGCGUUACUCGGAAUUACUGGGCGUAAAGCGUGCGUAGGUGGUGGUUUAAGUCCGUUGUGAAAGCCCUGGGCUCAACCUGGGAACUGCAGUGGAUACUGGAUCACUAGAGUGUGGCAGAGGGUAGUGGAAUUCCCGGUGUAGCAGUGAAAUGCGUAGAGAUCGGGAGGAACAUCAGUGGCGAAGGCGACUGCCUGGGCCAACACUGACACUGAGGCACGAAAGCGUGGGGAGCAAACAGGAUUAGAUACCCUGGUAGUCCACGCCCUAAACGAUGCGAACUGGAUGUUGGGUGCACUUUGGCACGCAGUAUCGAAGCUAACGCGUUAAGUUCGCCGCCUGGGGAGUACGGUCGCAAGACUGA
rnacentral:rRNA from 1 species